CACGGCUAUUUGAAUUCGAGUAUUUUGGCCAGUGCCGCAUGGCGGCCCAGUUGAAUAAUAGGCGGUCAUGGGUUGUAAAGUAAUGGCGCGAUGUUGGCGAGGGUGAUGUUGAUGGUGCUUAUGAUCAUGGCGAUCAUGGCGGUGGAAACCAUGUGGAGUAGGGCGGUGGCCGCCAUAAUCUCGCAUGUCGCUGAAGUCCUGAAGUCCGAUGCCUUAUGUCGCCUGACCGCUUUUGAGCACGGGCAGGGGCUGGGGCCGCUGCCCCCCCCUGCGCGCCUGUGGGGGCCCAAGGCGAGGUGGAGCAGGGAUGCAGGGAUUACGAAGCUCUCUAGUUGCCCCCGCGCAAGUUUGCCCCCAGCUCUGUUAUGAUGGACUAAUAGGGUAAAGGUGUGUCAGGAAGUUAUGGAGGUGAACGUCGAAGGGUUUUUUCACUAGCUAUCUUGGUACAGGUGGUGGCUGACAGCGGUCGGGGACACGGACCUAUACAUCGUGGUGGCUGACAGUGUGAUAUCGGACACUCCCAAGCUUUCCGUCGGCGACCUUACCUUUACAAUCUAGCUGAUGUUUACAUGCCAUGCUGGGCCAUUCCGAGUUUGAGGUGCACAUCAAACACCUUGGCCACGCUUUUGGAUUUUAGUCUGCCAGCAACAGUGUCGACUAACAGCCUAACUAACUUGCCAGCAGACCUGAUCGCGCGGCGCCUGAUUCGAGCUAAGAAUGACGAGUUUCCCAGUAGUUGUGACUGUGUGCGGCUUUGGAGUCUGGAAGAUUACCUUUCCACUCACGCCCUCUAGUCAGCGGUGCCUCAUCCGGCAGCUGCGUGGCGCCUGAUAUGGUUCACAUAUGCACAUUGAAUGAUUCC
rnacentral:lncRNA from 1 species